GAUGAAGAACGUAGUGAAAUGCGAUACUUGGUGUGAAUUGCAGAAUCCCGCGAAUCAUCGAGUCUUUGAACGCAAGUUGCGCCCCAGGCCAUCCGGCCGAGGGCACGCCUGCCUGGGCGUCACACGUCGUUGCCCCCCCAUCUACUCCUUCGGGAUUGCGGGGGGCGGAUGAUGGCCUCCCGUGCGCCUCGCCGCGCGGUUGGCAUAAAUGCCAAGUCCUCGGCGACGCACGCCACGACAAUCGGUGGUUGCGAAACCUCGGUUGCCCGUCGUGUGCGGUCGUCGCGCAUCGAGGGCUCGAAAAAAUUGCCGGGUUCCGGCUCGGCUUUCAACGCGACCCCAGGUCAGGCGGGGUUACCCGCUGAAUUUAAGCAUAUCAAUAAGCGGAGGA
rnacentral:misc_RNA from 1 species